rnacentral:lncRNA from 1 species
CCCGCACACCGGACGCACAUACCCAGCUAGGGGCAGACUCAAAGAUCCCAGCCCUUAUCUUCUCCCCAUAUCAGAGCUCGGAAGCCAGAAAUCUUCCUAAGGCAGGUGAAAGCAAGCCGAGCCCCACUGCUGAAGGACAAAGCCACAGGAAGCCUGAUGACAUCUUUCCUCUGAGGCUUCCAAACGAUCACCCCAAAUUGCUUGCUGAUACUGGGAAGAGUGGCCAUGAACUCUCCAUUGCUCUGCUGGCUGUGGAAUGUUUGCUCAGCACAGGAAGCAUUUAAGGAGAAAGUCAAAGUAGCCAAAAGGCAAACCAGAUGGUGGUGGACAUGUGGGUGACAGAGCAUCCUGCAUUUGUUGCCUCGGGGUGCAGCCCCAAAGAUAAAGCCAGCAGUGUGCAAAUGACAAAUGCUACCCCACCUCCGCCAGGCAGCCAGAGCCAGGGCCGAAGGACGCGGAAAGGAACUGGUGUGGAAACCUGCCCAGGAACCGCACUCUCAACUGAGAAGAGUCCGGGGCGCGUCCCCGCCCGGCCGCCCGGCUGUCACUCAAGCUCUCCUGAACUUCCCCGCCCGACUCGGGGAGGGGUCGGGGAAGAGGCUCUGC